AGGACACCCAAUCUCCUUCACGCGUUCUCUCUCGCUCGAGUGCCCCGCCCCCCACAGCCGUCCGCCGCUGCCGAGCCCACUUCACAACACAGACUCGCCUUUCUCUUCAGAUCUUGGCAGGCGCCACCCUCCUCCCCAGAUCCGGUAGGCGAACCCUCCUCACCAAAUCCGACAGACGUGCCGUCGCCCACCACUCGAGCCAGACCUGCCGCCGACCAUCACGACUCCCUCACUUUCCUCCCUUCUCCGCACAAGCCACCGGACCUGCGUGCCGCCGGUCGCAUCGCUGGAUCUCGCCCAUUCGGUUUGAAUCGCCGCCGCCGCCUCCAGCCCUUAACCACCGCCACUCCGUCGCUAUCUCCCAGCAGCUUGAAGUCAGCUGCCGCUUUCGGCCGGUUCCUCCACCGUCCAUCGUCGCGCUGCCUAUCUCUUGUUGCGUGGGUCUUCAUCGAAUUCUUAGAUUUUGAUUUUAGAUUGGAAAAUUACAGCAGCGACUGUCCAGCGGAUUCAAGGUCAUUCGACAAGAGUUUUGGUUCCAAGCUGUCGUCCAUUGGGAGUUAAAAAUCUGUUGGAAGGAGAUUUUAGAAUGGUUGUUAAUCAAGUUCCUUGGGGUCGUUUCUUCAAAUCACGGUCAUCGUUUGGUUGUCAGAGUUUAUCUAUGGAAUUUCGAUUAAGGUAAGUAAUCUUACCGUUGGAACUGCCCACAGGCCAGGUUUUAUUUGUACUCGCGUGAUAAGUGUAUAUUAUGGUAAAUAUUAGCAUGUUGACUGAUAGUAUGACCUGAAUUAAGUAUGUUCUGGCACGGGUUCUGUUUUGUUUAAAGAUACACCUAGGCAUUUGAUCGUUAGUAUGGAAUGGUAUGUGUUUUCAUAUGUUGAUAUCUGAUCUGCUGGUGUUGAGGCAUACUUGCAUGCUGUGGGUUAUGAUGUAAGGUAUACAUGAAUGUAGUAUGAUAUGUUGUCAAUAAUCAUGUGUAUGUGAUGGAGCCAUGGUAUCAAGGAUUUUCAUGUAUGUCCUAGAACUUUAUAAUGUUGAUUCUUAGAACGUUGAGACUGUGUGACUAUCCUUAUUGAUUAGUUAGACGCUCACUAGUUUGUGUUUCCUUCGGGAUUCACCAGUCUUGUGUUUCCUUCGGGAUUCACCAGUUUUGUGUUUCCUUCGGAGUUCACCAGUUUUGUGUUUCCUUCAGGGUUCACCAGUUUGUGUUUCCUUCGGGAUUCCCCAGUUUUUUGUUCCCUUCGAGAUUCCCCAGUUUUGUGUUCCCUUCGGGGUUCACUAGUUUUGUGGGCAUACUUAACUACAACAGGAUAGGACUCAGUCUUUCGUUUGUUCCAUUUAUUUAUGUGCCAUAGGUAAGGGUAGAGAUGCACCGGCGAUGGCGCAACGGAAUUCGUGAUCAUGCCACUGGGACUAGUUUU